rnacentral:rRNA from 1 species
CACGUAGGGCGCAAGCGUUGUUCGGAAUUACUGGGCGUAAAGGGCUCGUAGGUGGCCAACUAAGUCAGACGUGAAAUCCCCAGGCUCAACUUGGGAACUGCGUCUGAUACUGGAUGGCUUGAAUUCGGGAGAGGGAUGCAGAAUUCCAGGUGUAGCGGUGAAAUGCGUAGAUAUCUGGAGGAAUACCGGUGGCGAAGGCGGCAUCCUGGACCGAGAUUGACACUGAAAAGCGAAAGCCAGGGGAGCAAACGGG